UACAGGGAAUGCAAGCGUUAUCCGGAUUCAUUGGGCGUAAAGGGUCCUGAGGUGGUCUGCUUAGUCUACUGUGAAAGCUCAGGGCUCAACCCUGACAAUGCGGUGGAAACUAGUAGGCUAGAAUACGGUAGGGGCAAGGGGAAUUCCCAGUGUAGCGGUGAAAUGCAUAGAUAUUGGGAAGAACACCAAAGGCGAAGGCACCUUGCUGGGCCGAUAUUGACACUGACAGACGAAAGCUAGGGGAGCGAAUGGG
rnacentral:rRNA from 2 species